rnacentral:rRNA from 1 species
GCAUAUCAAUAAGCGGAGGAAAAGAAACCAACAGGGAUUGCCCUAGUAACGGCGAGUGAAGCGGCAACAGCUCAAAUUUGAAAUCUGGCCCUUGGGUCCGAAUUGUAAUUUGUAGAGGAUGUUUUUGGUGCGGUAUCUUCCGAGUUCCUUGGAACAGGACGCCUUAGAGGGUGAGAGCCCCGUACGGUUGAAUGCCUAGCCUUUGUAAAACUCCUUCGACGAGUCGAGUAGUUUGGGAAUGCUGCUCUAAAUGGGAGGUAAAUUUCUUCUAAAGCUAAAUACCGGCCAGAGACCGAUAGCGCACAAGUAGAGUGAUCGAAAGAUGAAAAGCACUUUGAAAAGAGGGUUAAAUAGCACGUGAAAUUGUUGAAAGGGAAGGAUUUAUGACCAGACUUUUUCUAGGCGAAUCAUCCGGUGUUCUCACCGGUGCACUUCGUUUAGUUUAGGCCAGCAUCGAUUUUCGGGGCGGGAUAAAAGCUUCAGGAAUGUAGCUCCCUCGGGAGUGUUAUAGCCUGUUGUAUAAUACCGCCCUGGGGAUCGAGGUACGCGCUUCUGCAAGGAUGCUGGCGUAAUGGUUAUCAAUCACCCGUCUUGAAACACGGACCAAGGAGUCGAACAUUUGUGCGAGUGUUUGGGUGUUAAACCCUCACGCGUAAUGAAAGUGAACGGAGGUGAGAGCCCUUUACGGGGUGCAUCAUCGACCGAUCCUGAUGUCUUCGGAUGGAUUUGAGUAAGAGCAUAAAUGUUCGGACCCGAAAGAUGGUGAACUAUGCGUGGAUAGGGUGAAGCCAAUGAAACUCUGGUGGAGGCUCGCAGCGGUUCUGACGUGCAAAUCGAUCGUCAAAUCUGCGCAUGGGGCGAAAGACUAAUCG